rnacentral:rRNA from 1 species
ACGCACGCUGGCGGCGUGCUUAACACCUGCAAGUCGCACGGAAAGGCCCAGCUUGCUGGGUACUCGAGUGGCGAACGGGUGAGUAACACGUGGGUGAUCUGCCCUGGACUCUGGGAUAAGCCUGGGAAACUGGGUCUAAUACCGGAUAUGACCUUACAUCGCAUGGUGUUUGGUGGAAAGCUUUUGCGGUUCAGGAUGGGCCCGCGGCCUAUCAGCUUGUUGGUGGGGUAAUGGCCUACCAAGGCGACGACGGGUAGCCGACCUGAGAGGGUGAUCGGCCACACUGGGACUGAGACACGGCCCAGACUCCUACGGGAGGCAGCAGUGGGGAAUAUUGCACAAUGGGCGCAAGCCUGAUGCAGCGACGCCGCGUGAGGGAUGACGGCCUUCGGGUUGUAAACCUCUUUCACCAGGGACGAAGCGUGAGUGACGGUACCUGGAGAAGAAGCACCGGCCAACUACGUG